rnacentral:rRNA from 1 species
CCUACGGGGGGCUGCAGUCGAGAAUCUUCCACAAUGGACGAAAGUCUGAUGGAGCGACGCCGCGUGAGCGAAGAAGGCCUUCGGGUUGUAAAGCUCUGUUGUAAGGGACGAAGGAUGUGACGGUACCUAAUGAAUAAGCCACGGCUAACUACGUGCCAGCAGCCGCGGUAAUACGUAGGUGGCAAGCGUUGUCCGGAUUUACUGGGUGUAAAGGGCGCGUAGGCGGGAAUGCAAGUCAGUUGUGAAAACCGACGGCUUAACCGGAGGAUUGCAGUUGAUACUGAGUUACUUGAGGCAAGGAGAGGAAGGUGGAAUUCCCGGUGUAGCGGUGAUAUGCGUAGAUAUCGGGAGGAACCCCAGUGGCGAAGGCGGCCUUCUGGUCUUGACCUGACGCUGAGGAGCGAAAGCCAGGGUAGCGAACGGGAUUAGAUACCCUUGUA